UACGAAGGGGGCUAGCGUUGCUCGGAAUUACUGGGCGUAAAGCGCACGUAGGCGGCUUGUUAAGUCAGGGGUGAAAUCCUGGAGCUCAACUCCAGAACUGCCUUUUGAUACUGAGGAUCUUUGAGUUCGGGGAGAGGUGAGUGGAACUGCGAGUGUAGAGGUGAAAUUCGUAGAUAUUCGGAAGAACACCAGUGGCGAAGGCGACUUACUGGACACGUAUUGACGCUGAGGUGCGAAAGCGUGGGGAGCAAACAGG
rnacentral:rRNA from 1 species